CCCAGGUGUCAAGCCUCAGUCGUGGUCCUAGAGCCUCAGGCCCUCAGGAAGAGGAGACAGAGAAACGAUGAGGGCUUUCAUUUGACUUGAGGGGGAGAAAGAACCAGUGGAGGCAGCAACAAGCAGGUAGAAGGGGGCCAGGUGGGAUUGGCCCAGGCACAUCUAGGAAUCAGGACACCAACAGGCAGGUAGAAGGAGGCCAGGUGAGAUUGGCCCAGGCACAUCUAGGAAUCAGGCCACCAACAGGCAGGUAGAAGGAGGCCAGGUGAAAUUGGCCCAGGCACGUCUAGGAAUCAGGCCACCAACAGGCAGGUAGAAGGGGGCCAGGUGAGAUUGGCCCAGGCACGUCUAGGAAUCAGGACACCAACAGGCAGGUAGAAGGAGGCCAGGUGAGAUUGGCCCAGGCACGUCUAGGAAUCAGGCCACCAACAGGCAGGUAGAAGGAGGCCAGGUGAGAUUGGCCCAGGCACGUCUAGGAAUCAGGACACCAACAGGCAGGUAGAAGGAGGCCAGGUGAAAUUGGCCCAGGCACAUCUAGGAAUCAGGACACCAACAGGCAGGUAGAAGGAGGCCAGGUGAGAUUGGCCCAGGCACGUCUAGGAAUCAGGACACCAACAGGCAGGUAGAAGGAGGCCAGGUGAAAUUGGCCCAGGCACGUCUAGGAAUCAGGACACCAACAGGCAGGUAGAAGGAGGCCAGGUGAGAUUGGCCCAGGCACGUCUAGGAAUCAGGACACCAACAGGCAGGUAGAAGGAGGCCAGGUGAGAUUGGGCCAGGCACGUCUAGGAAUCAGGCCACCAACAGGCAGGUAGAAGGAGGCCAGGUGGGAUUGGCCCAGGCACGUCUAGGAAUCAGGACACCAACAGGCAGGUAGAAGGAGGCCAGGUGAGAUUGGCCCAGGUACGUCUAGGAAUCAGGACACCAACAGGCAGGUAGAAGGAGGCCAGGUGAGAUUGGCCCAGGUACGUCUAGGAAUCAGGACACCAACAGGCAGGUAGAAGGAGGCCAGGUGAGAUUGGCCCAGGCACGUCUAGGAAUCAGGACACCAACAGGCAGGUAGAAGGAGGCCAGGUGGGAUUGGGCCAGGCACGUCUAGGAAUCAGGCCACCAACAGGCAGGUAGAAGGAGGCCAGGUGAGAUUGGCCCAGGCACGUCUAGGAAUCAGGGACACCAACAGGCAGGUAGAAGGAGGCCAGGUGGAUUGGGCCAGGCACGUCUAGGAAUCAGGACACCAACAGGCAGGUAAAAGGAGGCCAGGUGAGAUUGGCCCAGGCACGUCUAGGAAUCAGGGACACCAACAGGCAGGUAGGAGGCCAUGUGGGAUUGGGCCAGGCACGUCUAGGAAUCAGGACACCAACAGGCAGGUAGGAGGCCAGGUGGGAUUGGGCCAGGCACGUCUAGGAAUCAGGCCAGGGUGUUCUCAGUUGCGGUCCAAGAGUCUCCGUAAGGGGAGAAAGAGAAAAG